UCCCGUGACGAUAGCGGAGGGGCCACACCUGUUCCCAUUCCGAACACAGAAGUUAAGCCCUCCAGCGCUGAUGGUACUGCAGGGGAGACUCUGUGGGAGAGUAGGACGUUGCGGGAA
rnacentral:rRNA from 1 species